rnacentral:rRNA from 1 species
AUUGAACGCUGGCGGCAGGCCUAACACAUGCAAGUCGAACGAGUGGCGGACGGGUGAGUACUGUCUGGGAACCUGCCCGUUGGAGGGGGAUAACUAAUGGAAACGGUAGCUAAUACCGCAUACCAUCGGAUGUGCCCAGAGGGGAGUAGCUUGUAGGUGGGGUAACGGCUCACCUAGGCGACGCUCCCUAGCUGGUCUGAGAGGAUGAUCAGGCACACGGGAACUGAGACACGGUCCAGACUCCUACGGGAGGCAGCAGUGGGGAAUAUGGGACAAUGGGCGAAAGCCUGAGGCAGCCAUGCCGCGUGUGUGAAGAAGGCCUUCGGAUUGUAAAGUACUUUCAGCGGGGAGGCGUUACCCACAGAAUAAGCACCGGCUAACUCCGUGCCAGCAGCCGCGGUAAUAC